rnacentral:rRNA from 1 species
GGACCUGACUGCUAUCGGAUUGAUACUAAGCCAUGCGAGUCUUUGCAGUAAUGCAAGGCGGACUGCUCAGUAACACGUAGUCAACUUAACCUAUGGAUGGGUAUAACCUCGGGAAACUGAGAAUAAUUCCCAAUAGAUCAUUUAUCCUGGAAUGGUUGAUGAUUGAAAUGAUUCGUCGCCAUAGGAUAGGACUGCGGCCUAUCAGCUUGUUGGUGAGGUAAAGGCCCACCAAGGCUAUUACAGGUACGGGCUCUGAGAGGAGAAGCCCGGAGAUGGGUACUGAGACACGGACCCAGGCCCUAUGGGGCGCAGCAGGCGAGAAAACUUUGCAAUGUGCGAAAGCACGACAAGGUUAAUCCGAGUGAUUUCUGCUAAAGGAAUCUUUUGCCAGUCCUAAAAACACUGGUGAAUAAGGGGUGGGCAAGUUCUGGUGU